CACGUAGGGCGCGAGCGUGUCCGGAAUUACUGGGCGUAAAGCGCGCGUAGGCGGCUUUUCAAGUCAGAAGUGAAAGCCCCGGGCUCAACCCGGGAAUAGCUUUUGAUACUGUUGAGCUCGAGUCCGGGAGAGGAUAGUGGAAUUCCCAGUGUAGAGGUGAAAUUCGUAGAUAUUGGGAAGAACACCAGUGGCGAAGGCGGCUAUCUGGACCGGUACUGACGCUGAGGCGGCGAAAAGCGUG
rnacentral:rRNA from 1 species